UAUCCACCCGGGCGUGCAUGCGGGCACGAAGGGGCACGC
rnacentral:rRNA from 1 species